rnacentral:rRNA from 1 species
AGUGAACGCUGGCGGCGUGCUUAACACAUGCAAGUCGAACGAGAACGGAUUAUAGCUUGCUAUAAUUGUCAGCUAAGUGGCGCACGGGUGAGUAAUGUAUAGAUAACCUGCCCUCUAGAAAGGAAUAACAGUUGGAAACGACUGCUAAUGCCCUAUAUGCCUUUAAUACAUAAGUAUGCAAGGGAAACGCUUUAGUGCUAGAGGAUGGGUCUGUAUGGUAUCAGCUAGUUGGUGAGGUAAUGGCUCACCAAGGCUAUGACGCCUAACUGGUUUGAGAGGAUGAUCAGUCACACUGGAACUGAGACACGGUCCAGACUCCUACGGGAGGCAGCAGUGGGGAAUAUUGCACAAUGGACGAAAGUCUGAUGCAGCAACGCCGCGUGGAGGAUGACACAUUUCGGUGCGUAAACUCCUUUUAUAUAGGAAGAUAAUGACGGUACUAUAUGAAUAAGCACCGGCUAACUCCGUGCCAGCAGCCGCAGUAA